UUAUGUGAACAAUUAUUUUUGUCCUUUAGGGGCCAUUUCUGAACCAUUAUUCAAAGGAGCAGUACACCAAAUAGUACACCCCAAGAUGGGCAGAGGUGCUUCUCUGUGUACCACUUAAGAUACUGUUUAUGUGAAAUUGAAGUCAAUAUGGAGCCUUCUGAAAAAAAAAAAGGAUGAUCUGAUAGAGAGCAUGGUGGAUAGCUGCUUAUAACAUGUCAUCAGGGAAGAAGAGCAAGAACAAGGAAGGAAUCCAGAACAGAGCUAAACCCUUCCAGGCUCUUCUCACCAGAGCCGAACAGGAAGCACUGAUGUCCCGGGAUCCAUCUUCUUGCAUAGUUGAUCCAUCAUAGCAGCAACUACAAUCAAAAGAACACAUCUUGGAGACCAUAAUCUUAAGUGAAAUAAAUCAGAAACACAAGCUUAAAUAUUGUAUGAUAUCUCUCACAUGGGAAACUAAAAUAUAAAUAAAGAGCAAAAUAAAAGAUAACAGGAUAUAGGAAGGCAUUCUUUGCAAAAGGGAAGGAAGGCAAGAGAUAAACAGAAGAAGGUAGGAAGGUUGGGAAAUUGGAUGAAAAAAAGAAUUAAAAUGUGUUAUGUAUGUGCAAUAACUCCCUGUGAUGGAUGUAAUCAUUAUGUAUUACCAACAUGCACUAAUAAAAAUAAAAAGAACAAGAUAACAGAUAACAGGGGUUUAGUGUGUAUAGGCCAGAGUACAAAAUUUUUAAAAAAGAGCAUAGUUUAAAAUGGAUUAGUGUUCCACUCAAAACUUGACUUGGUAUAGUGGAUUAAAGUUGUUCUUGAGUAUUUUUUAGUCAGAUCAGAUUCUGAUGUGCAGCUAAUGAUAAUUGGCCAUAGGUUGAUAAUUACCAAAGUUAGGUGAAGAGCACAUGGAUUUAUUAUACCACUGUCUAAAUAUAUGUAUACAUGUGAACAUUUAAAACAAAAGUGUCUUAAA